GAACCCCGGCGGCUCCGACAUGGCCUCCACCUUCCUCCCGCUCCUCCUCCUCCUCGCCGCCCUCCCAGGGCUGCGGGCGGCCGUGAGCCUCGUCGAGUCCGGCGGCGACCUCAAGGCCCCGGGGGAGUCCCUGCGGCUCCUCUGCCGCGGCUCCGGCUUCACCUUCGCCAGCUACGGAAUGUUCUGGGCGCGCCAGAGCCCCGGGAAGGGGCUGGAAUGGGUCGCCGGGAUCAGCAGCGGUGGUGGCGGCACCUACUACGCGCCGGCGGUGAAGGGCCGGUUCACCAUCGCCAGGGACAACGGGCAGGGCACGGUGACGCUGCAGAUGAACGGCCUCAAGGAGGAGGAUUCCGCCACCUAUUUCUGCGCCAAAGCUGCUCACGGCGGCGCCGGCGCCGGGGGAGGGCGGGCAAAAACCUCCAAUUCUCCCGGGGGGGAGACGACACCGUUGAGCGGGUUGGGUGUCACGGUUGG